rnacentral:tRNA from 1 species
GGAGGGGUGGCCGAGCGGUUGAAGGCGGCGGUCUUGAAAACCGCUGACGGUCAAAAGCCGUCCGUGGGUUCGAAUCCCACCUCCUCCGCCA